rnacentral:rRNA from 1 species
GUGAGUAGUUCAGAGUUUGAUCCUGGCUCAGGAUGAACGCUGGCGGCGUGCUUAACACAUGCAAGUCGAACGGAGCGCUUAUGACGGAGUUUUCGGACAACUGAUUAAGUUGCUUAGUGGCGGACGGGUGAGUAACGCGUGAGGAACCUGCCUUGGAGUGGGGAAUAACACAGAGAAAUUUGUGCUAAUACCGCAUAAUGCAAUUGAGUCGCAUGGCUCUGAUUGCCAAAGAUUUAUCGCUCUAAGAUGGCCUCGCGUCUGAUUAGCUAGUUGGUGGGGUAACGGCCUACCAAGGCGACGAUCAGUAGCCGGACUGAGAGGUUGACCGGCCACAUUGGGACUGAGACACGGCCCAG